AGGAUGAACGCUGGCGGCGUGCCUAAUACAUGCAAGUCGUGCGGCAGCGAGCUUUACACUGUUUACUGGAGAAUUAUCUCAAGUACGCAGUGUAAAGUGUCGGCGAGCGGCGGACGGCUGAGUAACGCGUAGGAACGUACCCCAAAGUGAGGGAUAAGCACCAGAAAUGGUGUCUAAUACCGCAUGUGCUCUAAGGAGUAAAGCUUCGGCGCUUUGGGAACGGCCUGCGUAAGAUUAGCUUGUUGGUGAGGUAAAAGCUCACCAAGGCGACGAUCUUUAGCUGGUCUGAGAGGAUGAUCAGCCAGACUGGGACUGAGACACGGCCCAGACUCCUACGGGAGGCAGCAGUAGGGAAUUUCCACAAUGGC
rnacentral:rRNA from 1 species